AAUCAUGUUCCUACUGUAUUUAUCCCUGGACACGCAGUAAGUAGAGCCUUAGGGAGGGACAGAGAGACUUCAGGUAACAGGAAUCAUGUUCCUACUGUAUUUAUCCCUGGACACGCAGUAAGUAGAGCCUUAGGGAGGGACAGAGAGACUUCAGGUAACAGGAAUCAUGUUCCUACUGUAUUUAUCUCUGGACACGCAGUAAGUAGAGCCUUAGGGAGGGACAGAGAGGACUUCAGGUAACAGGAAUCAUGUUCCUACUGUAUUUAUCCCUGGACACGCAGUAAGUAGAGCCUUAGGGAGGGACAGAGAGGACUUCAGGUAACAGGAAUCAUGUUCCUACUGUAUUUAUCCCUGGACACGCAGUAAGUAGAGCCUUAGGGAGGGACAGAGAGGACUUCAGGUAACAGGAAUCAUGUUCCUACUGUAUUUAUCCCUGGACACGCAGUAAGUAGAGCCUUAGGGAGGGACAGAGAGGACUUCAGGUAACAGGAAUCAUGUUCCUACUGUAUUUAUCCCUGGACACGCAGUAAGUAGAGCCUUAGGGAGGGACAGAGAGGACUUCAGGUAACAGGAAUCAUGUUCCUACUGUAUUUAUCCCUGGACACGCAGUAAGUAGAGCCUUAGGGAGGGACAGAGAGGACUUCAGGUAACAGGAAUCAUGUUCCUACUGUAUUUAUCCCUGGACACGCAGUAAGUAGAGCCUUAGGGAGGGACAGAGAGGACUUCAGGUAACAGGAAUCAUGUUCCUACUGUAUUUAUCCCUGGACACGCAGUAAGUAGAGCCUUAGGGAGGGACAGAGAGGACUUCAGGUAACAGGAAUCAUGUUCCUACUGUAUUUAUCCCUGGACACGCAGUAAGUAGAGCCUUAGGGAGGGACAGAGAGGACUUCAGGUAACAGGAAUCAUGUUCCUACUGUAUUUAUCCCUGGACACGCAGUAAGUAGAGCCUUACAGAGGGACAGAGAGGACUUCAGGUAACAGGAAUCAUGUUCCUACUGUAUUUAUCCCUGGACACGCAGUAAGUAGAGCCUUAGGGAGGGACAGAGAGGACUUCAGGUAACAGGAAUCAUGUUCCUACUGUAUUUAUCCCUGGACACGCAGUAAGUAGAGCCUUAGGGAGGGACAGAGAGGACUUCAGGUAACAGGAAUCAUGUUCCUACUGUAUUUAUCCCUGGACACGCAGUAAGUAGAGCCUUACAGAGGGACAGAGAGGACUUCAGGUAACAGGAAUCAUGUUCCUACUGUAUUUAUCCCUGGACACGCAGUAAGUAGAGCCUUACAGAGGGACAGAGAGGACUUCAGGUAACAGGAAUCAUGUUCCUACUGUAUUUAUCCCUGGACACGCAGUAAGUAGAGCCUUAGGGAGGGACAGAGAGGACUUCAGGUAACAGGAAUCAUGUUCCUACUGUAUUUAUCCCUGGACACGCAGUAAGUAGAGCCUUAGGGAGGGACAGAGAGGACUUCAGGUAACAGGAAUCAUGUUCCUACUGUAUUUAUCUCUGGACACGCAGUAAGUAGAGCCUUACAGAGGGACAGAGAGGACUUCAGGUAACAGGAAUCAUGUUCCUACUGUAUUUAUCCCUGGACACGCAGUAAGUAGAGCCUUAGGGAGGGACAGAGAGGACUUCAGGUAACAGGAAUCAUGUUCCUACUGUAUUUAUCCCUGGACACGCAGUAAGUAGAGCCUUACAGAGGGACAGAGAGGACUUCAGGUAACAGGAAUCAUGUUCCUACUGUAUUUAUCCCUGGACACGCAGUAAGUAGAGCCUUACAGAGGGACAGAGAGGACUUCAGGUAACAGGAAUCAUGUUCCUACUGUAUUUAGCCCUGGACACGCAGUAAGUAGAGCCUUAGGGAGGGACAGAGAGGACUUCAGGUAACAGGAAUCAUGUUCCUACUGUAUUUAUCCCUGGACACGCAGUAAGUAGAGCCUUAGGGAGGGACAGAGAGGACUUCAGGUAACAGGAAUCAUGUUCCUACUGUAUUUAUCCCUGGACACGCAGUAAGUAGAGCCUUAGGGAGGGACAGAGAGGACUUCAGGUAACAGGAAUCAUGUUCCUACUGUAUUUAUCCCUGGACACGCAGUAAGUAGAGCCUUAGGGAGGGACAGAGAGACUGCAGGCACUAACUACUAAUAUAGAAUUAUUUCCUGUUAGUCGCAGCAGCAUGUCAUAAAGAUAUGAAGGAAUUCGGUUGUGAAACAUAAGUCAUCAAGGUAAAAAUCCACAGCACGUUGAACUGCUUUUCAAAAUGCUGUACACACAUGUAGAAUUAAAUCUGAGGGAGUUGAUCUGAUUUUGUAGGCUAUACCUCCUUACACUCAGCAUCAAUUGUAAUGAUUAAAUAUUCAUCAUAAAUAUGAACUUAUUAUACGGUAUUGUACUGUAUUACUGUAUUACU